AAGGGUCACCAUCACACCGGUUCCCAAUCCACUCGUCAGCGGGACUUCAAGAGACGGCGACUGCCAGCAUACCAACGCUUGAGUGUUAGCCAGUAAUGGUAACCCAGAGCCCUCUCCAGCGAUCUAGUCGAGCUUCCAGUUUAUUCGUUUCUAACGCCAUCUGUUGUUUGGAUAUUUUUUCAGCCGUUCCCGCAACUUCAGAAGGGGAGUCUGGGGAUCCAAGCAGGCAGUCUGCUCGCUCUCCUUGUCGACGUCUGGAUCCUUUACCUGUCCGCCCUCCACCUCCAGCAUCCACGCACCUGGCAUCGACGUUGAUUUGUUUUUCUCUCCGAAAGUCCUGGCUUACCUGUCCGUCGCUGUCCCUUCGAUGUUUGAGAACCUGCCCUGGAAAUUAUUGUAAAUAAAUCACUUUACCUGA